rnacentral:rRNA from 1 species
AGUGAACGCUGGCGGUAGGCCUAACACAUGCAAGUCGAACGGCAGCACAGGAGAGCUUGCUCUCUGGGUGGCGAGUGGCGGACGGGUGAGGAAUACAUCGGAAUCUACUAUGUCUGGGGGGAUAACGUAGGGAAACUUACGCUAAUACCGCAUACGACCUACGGGUGAAAGCAGGGGACCGUCGGGCCUUGCGCGAUUGAAUGAGCCGAUUACGGAUUAGCUAGUUGGCGGGGUAAAGGCCCACCAGGGCGACGAUCCGUAGCUGGUCUGAGAGGGAGAUCAGCCACACUGGAACUGAGACACGGUCCAGACUCCUACGGGAGGCAGCAGUGGGAAAUAUUGGACAAUGGGCGCAAACCUGAUCCAGCCAUACCGCGUGGGUGAAGAAGGCCUUAGGGUUGUAAAGCCCUUUUGUUGGGAAAGAAAUCCAGCUGGCUAAUACCCGGUUGGGAUGACGGUACCCAAAGAAUAAGCACCGGCUAACUUCGUGCCAGCAGCCGCCGUAA